GAGCCCAGGUCUGACAGAACCUGUGGUUAACGGUCAGAGCCCAGGUCUGACAGAACCUGUGGUUAACGGUCAGAGCCCAGGUCUGACAGAACCUGUGGUUAACGGUCAGAGCCCAGGUCUGACAGAACCUGUGGUUAAUGGUCAGAGCCCAGGUCUGACAGAACCUGUGGUUAACGGUCAGAGCCCAGGUCUGACAGAACCUGUGGUUAACGGUCAGAGCCCAGGUCUGACAGAACCUGUGGUUAACGGUCAGAGCCCAGGUCUGACAGAACCUGUGGUUAACGGUCAGAGCCCAGGUCUGACAGAACCUGUGGUUAAUGGUCAGAGCCCAGGUCUGACAGAACCUGUGGUUAACGGUCAGAGCCCAGGUCUGACAGAACCUGUGGUUAACGGUCAGAGCCCAGGUCUGACAGAACCUGUGGUUAAUGGUCAGAGCCCAGGUCUGACAGAACCUGUGGUUAACGGUCAGAGCCCAGGUCUGACAGAACCUGUGAAGAUGAUCUAGG